AUUGAACGCUGGCGGCAGGCCUAACACAUGCAAGUCGAACGAGUGGCGGAGGGGUGAGUAAUGUCUGGGAAACUGCCUGAUGGAGGGGGAUAACUACUGGAAACGGUAGCUAAUACCGCAUACCAUCGGAUGUGCCCAGAUGGGAUUAGCUAGUAGGUGGGGUAACGGCUCACCUAGGCAACGAUCCCUAGCUGGUCUGAGAGGAUGAUCAGCCACACUGGAACUGAGACACGGUCCAGACUCCUACGGGAGGCAGCAGUGGGGAAUAUUGCGCAAUGGGCGAAAGCCUGACGCAGCCAUGCCGCGUGUAUGAAGAAGGCCUUCGGGUCGUAAAGUACUUUUAGUAGGGAGGCGGUACCCGCAGAAGAAGCACCGGCUAACUCCGUGCCAGCAGCCGCGGUAAUAC
rnacentral:rRNA from 1 species